rnacentral:lncRNA from 1 species
CCCAUGGAGAAUAACACAGCGUAUGAGGAGGCAGAGAGUGACAGAGAUGGAGAGGUGUAGAGGGAUCAGGGAAGGACUGAACAAACGGAAGCUGAGCAGAGAUCACAAUGAGAUAAAAAUUGAAGAGCUGAAAGGCGAUUGCAAUACAGGCUCAAAGAUACUGAAGGGCAUUGUUGCAAGCAUCUAAGGAGUCAUUGCAAACAUCUCAGGAAUAAUUGCAAAAAUCUAAGCGGACUAAAGCAAAUACUAAGAGGCUCCAUCUAGGAGCCCUGUGAUGGUUCGUACCGAGUGUCAACUCGAUUGGAUUGAAGACUGCAAAGUAUUGUUCCUGGGUGUGUCUGUGAGGGUGUUGCCAAAAGAGAUUAACAUUUGAGGCAGUGGACUGGGAAAGGCAGACCCAUCCUCAGUCUGAGUGGGCACAGUCUAAUCAGCUGCCAAUGCAGGCAGAAGAACAUGAAGAGAUGAGACCGGUUUAGUCUUCUCCCCUACAUCUUUCUCCCGUGCCGGAUGCUUUCUGCCCUCAAUCAUCAGACUUCAAGUUCCUCAGCUUUGAGACUCAGACUGACUUCCCUGCUCCUCAGCUGGCAGACAGCCUGUUGUGGGACCUUAUGAUAGUGUGAGUCAACAGUCCUUAAUAAAAUCCCUUCAUAUAUUCAUCUAUCCUCUUAGUUCCAUCCCUCUAGAGAGCCCUAACUAAUAUAGCCCACAUUGUUUACUCGUUUGUCCUGUGCGUCACUAUAAUAAAUGGUUCUCAGUCAGUCUGAAGCAUUCCAUGUCAAAGACCCCUUAACCCUAAAGCCAGAGGGGCUGCUGAUCCUAUUAUUGCAAUUUUUGUACUAACAGAAUGUAAAGUAUCUGUGGCCUGGUCAUCUUUCUGGUAGUAUAUUUAAAGGUUUGAUUGAGCACUUUCUCUACUUCAAAAAGCCUAACAUAGAUAGAGAAAAUGCAACUUUAACUAUUCCUGUCUUUUAAAUCAUGAAUGAUGUAAAUUGUUUCUUUGUUGGCGUUUACUUGGCCAUAAUCUUCUUUGAAGAAAAGU